AGAGUUUGAUCCUGGCUCAGGAUGAACGCUAGCGACAGGCUUAACACAUGCAAGUCGAGGGGCAUCAUGAGGUAGCAAUACCUUGAUGGCGACCGGCGCACGGGUGAGUAACGCGUAUGCAACCUGCCUGAUACCGGGGUAUAGCCCAUGGAAACGUGGAUUAACACCCCAUAGUACUUUUAUCCUGCCUGGGAUGGGAGUUAAAUGUUCAAGGUAUCGGAUGGGCAUGCGUCCUAUUAGUUAGUUGGCGGGGUAACAGCCCACCAAGACGAUGAUAGGUAGGGGUUCUGAGAGGAAGGUCCCCCACAUUGGAACUGAGACACGGUCCAAACUCCUACGGGAGGCAGCAGUGAGGAAUAUUGGUCAAUGGACGAGAGUCUGAACCAGCCAAGUCGCGUGAGGGAAGACUGCCCUAUGGGUUGUAAACCUCUUUUAUAAGGGAAGAAUAAGUUCUACGUGUAGAAUGAUGCCUGUACCUUAUGAAUAAGCAUCGGCUAACUCCGUGCCAGCAGCCGCGGUAAUACGGAGGAUGCGAGCGUUAUCCGGAUUUAUUGGGUUUAAAGGGUGCGUAGGCGGUUUAUUAAGUUAGUGGUUAAAUAUUUGAGCUAAACUCAAUUGUGCCAUUAAUACUGGUAAACUGGAGUACAGACGAGGUAGGCGGAAUAAGUUAAGUAGCGGUGAAAUGCAUAGAUAUAACUUAGAACUCCGAUAGCGAAGGCAGCUUACCAGACUGUAACUGACGCUGAUGCACGAGAGCGUGGGUAGCGAACAGGAUUAGAUACCCUGGUAGUCCACGCCGUAAACGAUGCUCACUGGUUCUGUGCGAUAUAUUGUACGGGAUUAAGCGAAAGUAUUAAGUGAGCCACCUGGGGAGUACGUCGGCAACGAUGAAACUCAAAGGAAUUGACGGGGGCCCGCACAAGCGGAGGAACAUGUG
rnacentral:rRNA from 1 species